rnacentral:rRNA from 1 species
GACGAACGCUGGCGGCGUGCUUAACACAUGCAAGUCGAACGAUGAAACCUAGCUUGCUAGGUCGAUUAGUGGCGAACGGGUGAGUAACACGUGAUUAACCUGCCCCUUUCUCUGGGAUAACGCUCCGAAAGGAGUGCUGAUGCCGGAUACCCGCACCGAGGCACAUGCCUUGGUGUGGAAAGUGUUUCGGAAAGGGAGGGAGUCGGGGCCACUCAGCUUGUUGGUGGGGUAACGGCUCACCAAGGCGACGACGGGUAGCCGGCCUGAGAGGGCGACCGGCCACACUGGGACUGAGACACGGCCCAGACUCCUACGGGAGGCAGCAGUGGGGAAUAUUGCACAAUGGGCGCAAGCCUGAUGCAGCGACGCCGCGUGAGGGAUGAAGGUCUUCGGAUUGUAAACCUCUUUCAGUAGGGACGAAGCGAAAGUGACGGUACCUAAAGAAGAAGCACCGGCUAACUACGUGCCAGCAGCCGCGGUAA